GGCGAGACUUUUUUUCCAGAGUUUUUGGGACGGUAGACAUGCCAGAUACCUAAAUUAACGUGUAGAAGCACUACAAAAGUGGAAUUUUCAUAAUAUGUCCACUUUAAGUUUCUGUGAGCCUGACUUUUCUUUUUUUAAGUGCCUCUGUGUCUGUCGACCUGCAGUUGUAUUAAAGUGUUACACAAUUAAAUGAUACACACUAUACACCCAAAAUAUAGUCCUCAAAGAGUUUUUUAUCAAUGAUUUGCUGACAAAUAGUUUUGGGGUCUAGUGAUUAUAUUGUGUGUAGCUCGACCUCUAAUUAAAUGUUGUUACACAACUUGUUGGACUCUAACGUUGUUCAUUCUGCCACAUGUACAAGAUUCAAAAGCAAAUUUGUGUUUGCAGCGUCUACCCAAUCAGUCUGAGGAAAACCUUAACUAUGACAGUGUCCACUUCAUGAAGAGUGAGACGGAUCCCGUCUACUCCAACGUCGGAUCAGCUGAUCCCAGUGAACACAAGGAGGUGGAGGAGGUUACGUACGCUUCUGUCAACUUUAACAGAUCUGCCCCGAGAACCAGAGGUCAGGACACUGGAGAGGAUCCAGCUGCAUUGUACAGCACAGUCCAAAAACAUCCUGCUGUUUAGACCAACGUCUGGAAAUCACCUUAGUCCCGAUGGAAAUAUCUCAACAGCUGCAGGAUGGAUUUGAAUAGAAGUUCAUAAAACUGUUCAUGGUCCCCACAGGAUGAAUCCUUCAUUGGUGACGGUCAGCCUCCAGCAUCAUUGUUGAAAUGAAUUUUCAGUCUUAAGUGACUUGUCUUGACAGCUAAUGUAUAAAUUGCCCCGAGGAUGAAUCCAAACGACUUCGGUGACUCGACUUUUAUCUGAAAUAUAUCAGCAACUUGUAGAAGUUGUUAAAAACGCCACAUUUAGCCUGAAUGAAAAAUAUCAAACAUUUUAUAACUUGCAGCUUCAAACUUGAAAAUAUCUGCGGUGUGUGUCAGAAGGUCGACAAACUGUAAACUUGUAAUUAACUUUUUUCUAUUCAUAAUAUUAUCAAAACAAGCAUUAUUAGUUAGUUGUAGUGUGACACUGCUGCCACUAGAUGGUAGUAAAGAGUUUUACUGAUAAAA